rnacentral:sRNA from 1 species
UCCCUCCCUUCAGGUCGGGGAGCACGAUCUGCACUUCGUCUCAAAGAUUCAGCUUUUCUCCCGUCCCGACUUUCUGGGCGAACACUUCUCCUUCGAAGAUGACCAGGUCGCUCUGCCCGCCUCCUUCCGACCUCAGUCCUGCCGGGUCCACGGCGGCAGCUGGAUCCUGUUUGAUGAGAAGAACUUCGAGGGUGACCAGCACAUUCUCUCUGAGGGCGAGUUCCCCACUCUCACGGCCAUGGGCUGCCUAGCCUCCACAGUCCUGGGCUCUCUCCAGAAGGUAUCCCUGCACUUUUCAGAGCCUUCGAUUUUCCUGUAUGGACUCGAGUGCUUCGAGGGGAAGGAGAUCGAGCUCAGCAGGGAGGUGCGGAGCCUGCAAGCUGAGGGCUUCAACAACCAUGUGCUGUCCGUGCGGAUCAAGGGGGGCGUGUGAGUGCUGAGGGGAGGCACGGGUGCGGGGGCUGCUGGUGGGGAUGAGUCGUGGCAAGACGGAGAUCCUGGGGGUCUCUGGCCUCUUUCCUCUCCCUGCUUUUCCCCCACUCCCCUCCAAGCCA